GUCAUCUUUUUUGGUUUAUGAAUUUGAUAGCAUUGGUUGUGAGAAUGAAAAAUAAAUCACAGAUUUGCGGUUUAUAUAAUUUCAGGAUUCUGUUGGUUUGGCUUUUAAUUUAGAUUUGGAUAUCUACUUUCUCCUUACCAGACAUCACAAGUUUGUAAUGUUAGUCGAUUGGUGAUGGUCUCAGAGAAUAUGGAUGUGAACUUCAAAGUGUCCUGAAGAAUAUAGGUGGUUGGGAGCUGCAGUCUGUUUCAAGAGGCGUGAAUAAAGUUGCCUUUAUGAUUGCUAGGAGUGUUACGAUGUUAACAUAUAAUGUAGUCGUUCGUUCCUCAAGGUGAACAGGUUUGGCUAAGGAAUGCUGUAGCUGUGGAUAGGUUGUGGAGUGAAGAGGUUAAAGAUCCUAUAGUGUGUUUUGGAUCUUUCGACAUGAAUGAGCUUCAGGCUCUGUUUAUGUCUUUAUCUUCCAUAUUGUUUUUGGUUGGUUUUGGUUUUGUACGAUACUGUGGUUCCUAUUGCAAUUCAUUCUCAGAGUUUAAAAAAAAAAAAAGAAAUAGAACUA